CCAAAGGCCCUUUUCAGGGCCACCCAACUGUUCAAAAAAAGGGCUGU
rfam:Canis lupus familiaris chromosome 35, whole genome shotgun sequence.